UACAGAGGUCUCAAGCGUUGUUCGGAUUCAUUGGGCGUAAAGGGUGCGUAGGCGGCGCGGUAAGUCGGAUGUGAAAUCUCGGAGCUUAACUUCGAAACUGCAUUCGAUACUGCCGUGCUUGAGGACUGGAGAGGAGACUGGAAUUUACGGUGUAGCGGUGAAAUGCGUAGAUAUCUUAAGGAAGACCAGUGGCGAAGGCGGGUCUCUGGACAGUUCCUGACGCUGAGGCACGAAGGUCAGGGGAGCAAACGGG
rnacentral:rRNA from 1 species